GUGAAUUGUUCAGAAAGAGUGAAUCAGAGGGACUCUGAAAAGAUAGAAUCAAAGCAAAGCCCAGAAAACUUUCUCGUGAGGGGAAUCGAGUGAAAUUCUAGAAGUGAAAGUGGAACUCUUUCAGUCCUCUUUGCUGAUUCAUCUGCUAGAAAUCUGAAAAGUGUGAUUAUAAUGUUAUAACCAUCAACUCAUGAAGUCUAAAUUCCAAAUAAUAGGAAACAGAAAAUAAAGGUUCAACCAGACCAGAGUUUAGGAGAGUACGUCGAUGGAAAGAGGAUGAUAGCAAGCAUAAGACUCACUGUAGACACCUAGAAGAUGCUGCAAAACGGUAGCUGCGUGUCAGCAAAAGACCAGCGGAUGUGAACAACCAUGGCCUAACAGAGAUCUCCAUCAA
rnacentral:lncRNA from 13 species